CGCCUCCCGAGACGUCGCGCCGGUCGGGAUAUCAUUCGCUCAGACCGGAUGACUGACAACCCUACCAGCUCUGACAUCACUUCCAGUGUCCAUCCACCUGGACCCGCCUCUUCCUGCCUCGCCUGUAUUCAACUAGGAGUGUCGCCAUCUUGGGCAAGUUUAUUUUCAGACUUGCGUCUUCCUAUUUUUGCUGAAAGACCGGAUGACUGACAACCCUACCAGCUCUGACAUCACUUCCAGUGUCCAUCCACCUGGACCCGCCUCUUCCUGCCUCGCCUGUAUUCAACUAGGAGUGUCGCCAUCUUGGGCAAGUUUAUUUUCAGACUUGCGUCUUCCUAUUUUUGC